rnacentral:tRNA from 1 species
CGCUGCUGGCUUACGGCCUGUGGUUCCGCGGCCUGCGCCUGCUGCCGCCGGUGGCGGUGUCGGCGCUGGGCCUGCUCAGCCCGGUGGCGGCGG